rnacentral:rRNA from 1 species
CCCUUAGAUGUUCGGGGCUGCACGCGCGCUACACUGAAGCUAUCAACACGUUUUCCCUCCCUGAGAAGGGCGGGUAACCUUUUGAAUCAGCUUCGUGGUAGGGAUCGGGGCUUGCAAUUGUUCCCCGUGAACCAGGAAUUCCUAGUAGACGCGAGUCAUAAGCUCGCAUCGAUUAAGUCCCUGCCCUUUGUACACACCGCCCGUCGCUACUACCGAUUGAACGUUUUAGUGAGGCAUUUGGACCGACGCAUCUCAGUUUAACCGCUGGUUUGUGUUGGAAAGACUUCCAAACUUGAGCGUUUAGAGGAAGUAAAAGUCGUAACA